CUACGGGCGGCACCAGUGGGGAAUAUUGCACAAUGGGCGAAAGCCUGAUGCAGCAACGCCGCGUGAGUGAUGAAGGUCUUCGGAUUGUAAAGCUCUGUUCUUGGGGAAGAAUAAAUGACGGUACCCAAGGAGAAAGCCCCGGCUAACUACGUGCCAGCAGCCGCGGUAAUACGUAGGGGGGCAAGCGUUAUCCGGAAUCACUGGGCGUAAAGGGUGCGUAGGCGGCUUAGCAAGUCAGAAGUGAAAGGCAUUGGCUCAACCAAUGUAAGCUUUUGAAACUGUUAGGCUUGAGUGCAGGAGAGGAAAGUGGAAUUCCUAGUGUAGCGGUGAAAUGCGUAGAUAUUAGGAGGAACACCAGUGGCGAAGGCGACUUUCUGGACUGUAACUGACGCUGAGGCACGAAAGCGUGGGGAGCGAACAGGAUUAGAUACCCCGGUAGUC
rnacentral:rRNA from 1 species